rnacentral:tRNA from 1 species
UCCCCGGUAGCUCAGUUGGUAGAGCAAGCGGCUGUUAACCGCUGGUCGCUGGUUCGAGUCCGGCCCGGGGAGCCA